rnacentral:tRNA from 2 species
GGUAGGAUGGCUGAAUAAUAGGCGGUAAAUUGUAAAUUUAUUUAUGAGUGGUAAAUCUCUUCUAUCA